CCUACGGGAGGCAGCAGUGAGGAAUAUUGGUCAAUGGGCGCGAGCCUGAACCAGCCAAGCAGCGUGAAGGAUGACUGCCCUACGGGUUGUAAACUUCUUUUAUAAAGGAAUAAAGUGAGGCACGUGUGCCUUUUUGUAUGUACUUUACGAAUAAGGAUCGGCUAACUCCGUGCCAGCAGCCGCGGUAAUACGGAGGAUCCGAGCGUUAUCCGGAUUUAUUGGGUUUAAAGGGAGCGUAGGUGGGUUGUUAAGUCAGUUGUGAAAGUUUGCGGCUCAACCGUAAAAUUGCAAUUGAUACUGGCAGGCUAGAGUACAGUUGAGGUAGGCGGAAUUCGUGGUGUAGCAGUGAAAUGCUUAGAUAUCACGAAGAACACCGAUUGCGAAGGCAGCUUACUAAACUGCCACUGACGUUGAGGCACGAAAGUGUGGGUAGCAAACAGGAUUAGAUACCCCUGUAGUC
rnacentral:rRNA from 1 species